GGGUCUGCGUUUCAUUAGCUAGUUGGUGAGAUAACAGCCCACCAAGGCGACGAUCAGUAGCCGGUCUGAGAGGAUGAACGGCCGCAUUGGAACUGAGACACGGUCCAAACUCCUACGGGAGGCAGCAGUGGGGAAUAUUGCACAAUGGGGGAAACCCUGAUGCAGCGACGCCGCGUGAACGAAGAAGGUAUUCGUAUCGUAAAGUUCUGUCCUAUGGGAAGAUAAUGACAGUACCAUAGAAGAAAGCUCCGGCUAAAUACGUGCCAGCAGCCGCGGUAAUACGUAUGGAGCGAGCGUUGUCCGGAAUUAUUGGGCGUAAAGGGUACGCAGGCGGUUUAAUAAGUCGAAUGUUAAAGAUCGGGGCUCAACCCCGUAAAGCAUUGGAAACUGAUAAACUUGAGUAGUGGAGAGGAAAGUGGAAUUCCUAGUGUAGUGGUGAAAUACGUAGAUAUUAGGAGGAAUACCAGUAGCGAAGGCGACUUUCUGGACACAAACUGACGCUGAGGUACGAAAGCGUGGGGAGCAAACAGGAUUAGAUACCCUGGUAGUCCACGCCGUAAACGAUGGACGCUAGAUGCCGGAG
rnacentral:rRNA from 1 species